GGAAAAAAAGCUCAGUCAGUUGAGCGUGAUGCUAACAACACCAAGGUCGUGGGUUCAAUUCCUGUUCGGUCCC
rnacentral:tRNA from 1 species